AGCGUUAUUCACGAUGACGUUCUAUCGUUCUAUUUUCACCACAAUCAACACUUGGAUUUCAUUCGCGAUCCAUUAGAAUUCUCUCGUACUGUAUCUUUAUUGUCUCCUCUGAGUGAGCUGAUAAAGUAGAGCCCAGAAAGUUGAAGCUCAAUUUAUUCAUUUUAUUGAUAACGUCAGAUUUUUCAAGCUCAGCUUUUUCUACGUUCAUCUUUUUUGCGGAGAAUCAAGUGUUUUGUGAUAAAUUGGCGUAAAUUUCGAUUUUCAAUCGACCGAUCACUUUGUUUCUGGAUCUUCUAACGUUCAUUAUCCAUCUCAAAAAACAGUUUUUUAUAAUCUGAUACGAAUGUAUGCACUCGUAGCUAAUUACGCUGUUCAACGGUUUCGCGUUCUUUCUCGGCUUUCUCGGCGAAUUUUAUCAAAACGGAUAUUUUUUUCGAUCGUGCUCGUGAAAAUCUACGAAAUGUCAAGUUAUACGAGUAAUAGUACGAAGACCAUGCACGAUGAUUCAGCUUCAUACUUUGACUUAUCGUGGAACUCAGUUUUUAAUUUAAUCAUCGAUGCGAUUGUACAAUUAGGAUUGGCUAUAACGAUGGGUUAUAUCGCGGAUCGUAUAAUCGCCAAAAUACAUCUGUUAAUUCAGCCACUAAUUUCCAAAUACCGCCGAAGAAGAGCACUGAAUGGUCCGGAUAGAGAAAGGUGGAUGCAAGAGUUGGUCGUAUUUUUAAACCAACGGCCGCAAGCAGAAGUCGAUCGUUUUUUUGAAGUGAUGUUUCAGUGGCUAGAAAUGCCACAAGAAGAGCAAGACGCUUAUUUGAGACGAGAACUUCCGAGAGUUUUGGCAAGAAUUUUUGGUAUGGAAGAACAGCGACCGCGAAGCAGAACUCGAGGUUUUUAGAAAUCGAACUACGAGGCGUUUAUAUUUUGAGAAUUAUGGUGUUGUUUUUUUUUUUUUUUUACUUUAUCAAAAUGCAUAUUAUCCAAUUAAUUUUAGAUUUCGCUUUAAUUUCGUGUUUAAAAAUUUUUGAAUAAUCGUUCGUAAUACAUUACAGUUCAUAAUUAGCGAA